rnacentral:rRNA from 1 species
CUACGGGAGGCAGCAGUGGGGAAUAUUGGGCAAUGGGCGAAAGCCUGACCCAGCAACGCCGCGUGAAGGAAGAAGGUUUUCGGAUUGUAAACUUCUUUUAUCAGGGACGAAGAAAGUGACGGUACCUGAUGAAUAAGCCACGGCUAACUACGUGCCAGCAGCCGCGGUAAUA